rnacentral:rRNA from 1 species
UACCACCCUUUAAUGUUUGAUGUUCUAACGUGGACCCGUAAUCCGGGUUGCGGACAGUGUCUGGUGGGUAGUUUGACUGGGGCGGUCUCCUCCUAAAGAGUAACGGAGGAGCACGAAGGUUGGCUAAUCCUGGUCGGACAUCAGGAGGUUAGUGCAAUGGCAUAAGCCAGCUUGACUGCGAGCGUGACGGCGCGAGCAGGUGCGAAAGCAGGUCAUAGUGAUCCGGUGGUUCUGAAUGGAAGGGCCAUCGCUCAACGGAUAAAAGGUACUCCGGGGAUAACAGGCUGAUACCGCCCAAGAGUUCAUAUCGACGGCGGUGUUUGGCACCUCGAUGUCGGCUCAUCACAUCCUGGGGCUGAAGUAGGUCCCAAGGGUAUGGCUGUUCGCCAUUUAAAGUGGUACGCGAGCUGGGUUUAGAACGUCGUGAGACAGUUCGGUCCCUAUCUGCCGUGGGCGCUGGAGAACUGAGGGGGGCUGCUCCUAGUACGAGAGGACCGGAGUGGACGCAUCACUGGUGUUCGGGUUGUCAUGCCAAUGGCACUGCCCGGUAGCUAAAUGCGGAAGAGAUAAGUGCUGAAAGCAUCUAAGCACGAAACUUGCCCCGAGAUGAGUUCUCCCUGAGACUUAGAGUCUCCUGAAGGAACGUUGAAGACGACGACGUUGAUAGGCCGGGUGUGUAAGCGCAGCGAUGCGUUGAGCUAACCGGUACUAAUGAACCGUGAGGCUUAACCUU